rnacentral:rRNA from 1 species
GUACACUCCUGCGGGAGGCAGCAGUGGGGAAUAUUGCACAAUGGGCGCAAGCCUGAUGCAGCCAUGCCGCGUGUAUGAAGAAGGCCUUCGGGUUGUAAAGUACUUUCAGCGGGGAGGAAGGCGAUAAGGUUAAUAACCUUGUCGAUUGACGUUACCCGCAGAAGAAGCACCGGCUAACUCCGUGCCAGCAGCCGCGGUAAUACGGAGGGUGCAAGCGUUAAUCGGAAUUACUGGGCGUAAAGCGCACGCAGGCGGUCUGUCAAGUCGGAUGUGAAAUCCCCAGGCUCAACCUGGGAACUGCAUUCGAAACUGGCAGGCUAGAGUCUUGUAGAGGGGGGUAGAAUUCCAGGUGUAGCGGUGAAAUGCGUAGAGAUCUGGAGGAAUACCGGUGGCGAAGGCGGCCCCCUGGACAAAGACUGACGCUCAGGUGCGAAAGCGUGGGGAGCAAACAGGAUUAGAUACCCCAGUAGUCCCA